GAUGAACGCUGGCGGCGUGCCUAAUACAUGCAAGUCGAACGAGAAACCUCUUUCGAGGGGUGGAAAGUGGCGGACGGGUGAGUAACACGUAGCUGACCUGCCUCGAUGACGGGGAUAACCCACCGAAAGGUGAGCUAAUACCCGAUAAGCUCACGGUGAUUAGAAAGCUGUGAGAAAAGCUCCGACGCAUCGAGAGGGGGCUGCGGCCUAUCAGGUAGUUGGUGGGGUAACAGCCUACCAAGCCGGUGACAGGUAGGGGGCCUGAGAGGGUGACCCCCCACACGGGGACUGAGAAACGGCCCCGACUCCUACGGGAGGCAGCAGUAAGGGAUAUUGCACAAUGGGCGCAAGCCUGAUGCAGCAACGCCGCGUGCCCGAUGAAGGCCUUCGGGUCGUAAAGCUCUGUUGUUAAGGAAGAACAAGUACGAAAGUAACUGCUCGUACCUUUGCCGGUCUUUACGAGAAAGCCACGGGUUAAUACCUGCCCGCAGCCGCGGUAUACGUAGGUGGCAACGUUUUCGGAAUUAUUGGGCGUAAAGCCCGCCCCAGGCGGUUCUU
rnacentral:rRNA from 1 species